CCCUUAGAUGUUCUGGGCCACACGCGCGCUACACUGAUGAAUUCAACGAGCUCCUAACCUAGGCCGAAGGGUCCGGGUAAUCUUUGAAAUUUCAUCGUGAUGGGGAUAGAUUAUUGCAAUUAUUAAUCUUCAACGAGGAAUUCCUAGUAAGCGCGAGUCAUCAGCUCGCGUUGAUUACGUCCCUGCCCUUUGUACACACCGCCCGUCGCUCCUACCGAUUGAAUGGUCCGGUGAAAUGUUCGGACCGCGACAAGGCGGACGGUUCGCUGUCAGCUUUGCUGCGGGAAGUUCAUUAAACCUUAUCAUUUAGAGGAAGGAGAAGUCGUAACA
rnacentral:rRNA from 1 species